rnacentral:rRNA from 1 species
CAGUGGGGAAUAUUGCACAAUGGGGGAAACCCUGAUGCAGCCAUGCCGCGUGUGUGAAGAAGGCCUUCGGGUUGUAAAGCACUUUUCAGUAGGGAGGGAAGGUAGUGUAGUUAACACCUGCACUAUUUGACGUUUACCUACAGAAGAAGCACCGGCUAACUCCGUGCCAGCAGCCGCGGUAAUACGGAGGGUGCGAGCGUUAAUCGGAAUUACUGGGCGUAAAGCGCAUGCAGGCGGCCUGUUAAGUCAGAUGUGAAAGCCCGGGGCUUAACCUCGGAAUUGCAUUUUGAAACUGGCAGGCUAGAGUCUUGUAGAGGGGGUAGAAUUUCAGGUGUAGCGGUGAAAUGCGUAGAGAUCUGAAGGAAUACCAGUGGCGAAGGCGGCCCCCUGGACAAAGACUGACGCUCAGAUGCGAAAGCGUGGGGAGCAAACAGGAUUAGAUACCCUGGUAG